rnacentral:rRNA from 1 species
UACGAAGGGUGCAAACGUUGCUCGGAAUUAUUGGGCGUAAAGCGCACGUAGGCGGCUUGGCAAGUCGGAUGUGAAAUCCCUCGGCUCAACCAAGGAAGUGCAUCCGAAACUGCUUUGCUUGAGUGCCGGAGAGGAUGGCGGAAUUCCCCAAGUAGAGGUGAAAUUCGUAGAUAUGGGGAGGAACACCGGUGGCGAAGGCGGCCAUCUGGACGGUAACUGACGCUGAGACGCGAAAAGCGUGGGGAGCAACAGG